GCCUGGGUGGCUUGGUCGGUUAAGCAUCUGACUUCGGCUCAGGUCGUGAUCUCACAGUCUGUGAGUUCGAGCCCCACGUUGGGCU
rnacentral:tRNA from 1 species